AACACCACCUGGGGGCACAGAGAUUUGUCAGCGUGACUGAUGCUUCCUGCUUAAAUGCAACAGUGUGCAGACACUUAUGCAGAAGAGAAACAGGCUGGGAGCCGGAAGAGGCAGUGUCUGGGGAGAGUUUGAAAAGCUCCGCUUGCAUCUAGUCACGCAUCUAGUGCUCUGCAGUGUGCAUCUCUAAAGGCAAGACCAGCCAUCGUCCUUUUAUGAAUGAGAAGCCAAGACCCAGAGACACUGAGGAUUUUUCUAAAAUUGAACAGCUGGGAUUUGAACCCUCAAAUGUUAUACUGAAGGGUGUCUCACAUCCAGGAAAUAAACACACACAGUAGAGGUUGCAAGCGUGGACACUAAAAUCUGAGUUUGGAUCUAGAUGUCACCAGUGCUUCUUAGAGCUGUGUGAGUUAGCAUUGUGACUCUCCAUGAGGAACCUCUCUGGAUCUGCAUCUGGUUCUGCCUAGCUACCAAACCCAGGUAACUGACUAUUCCCAUGAAGCAUCUGGCAUCACAUUGGUCCAAGGUAAGCAAAUGGCAAAAGUUCAAGAUCGCAGUGGCCCUGCUUCCAUCCCAUCAGAUCCAGUAAGGAAAUAGGAUGAAGAAAGUUCUGUUGACUCAACAGAGUGAGGAUACUGUGAUGACAAAUGCUGGGGUGACAGCAUUGGUUCCACUGUUACAGAGACAUCCAGAUGGAGCUUGUCCUCACAGACAGACACCUGGUUCCUUUCUGGCUUUCUUGAACAGUGCAGCCCUAGCCAGCUGUUCCUCCUCUCUGUGGCCUGAUAGUCCAAAUUCCUUCUUCCAGAACAUGUGUUUAGAAAAUGAAAUUUCCUCCAUUUUUUUUAUCUUAAAAACAAAUCCAAACCAACCAACCAACCAACCAACCAACAACAAAAAUGUCCCCCUAACCCUUCAAAAUAAAUCAAAGGAUCCUAAAAGUGCAUUUACAAGCAGCAUCUUGUGUUGAGGAGAGACCAAACAACAAGCUGGGUGGCACUGGCAGGACAGUUCCAAACAAUGACCAUGAGAAUCACCUGGCUGCCAGUGACCACACUGAGGAUCCAGAUGAUGGUAUUUCUUAGCCACUGAUGGGGGUGGCAUGGGGAGGGAUCAUAUUCACACAUCCUUCUUAAAACCCGAAUAUGAAACCAUUUAAGAAGCCUUGAAAAAUUAACACCAAUUGAUUUAGAAUUAGGAAUCAACAGACCACAAGAAAAUAAAACCCAAACAGAUAAGUAUAAACUAUGACAGUGGGCCAAGCUCUACUCAUCUGGCAGCAUAAACAUCACUAAGAAGGGAAAUGUUCUUUCCAACAGCUAGCAAAGGCUCCAAGGGAGGACUCGGCAGAAUCCCAGGUACAUGCAUAGUUCUCAACUCACAGGAUCCUCUGUCCCCAGGGCUGUUUGCUGUCUUGUGGUGGCCUGCCCAAGUGUCAUUAUGUGCUGCCUUCCAUAGCCUCAUCCUGGGUCUCAUCCUGGGUCUUCUGUGAGGCCUCCAUCCCAUCUCCUGGCCAGUGAUAGUCAUCUUUCAUAGAUACCAUGGGAUCAUAUCACUCCCAGUCCAGGCUCAUUUCUCCAGGCUACCCCUCCUCCUAGAUGAUCGCUUAGCUCUACCCCUAGAUGCUCCUGUCUCCUCCCCCACAGCUGCUCAUUAAGCCCCAGGAAUGUGCUCCCAGUCAGGCACCUGCUUGUGCCCAGGCUCCACUCAGCAUAAGUCAGAGAACUUGCUUUCCAAAGCAGGCCCUUAGCCAUGGAUGGCUCGUCCCAAGCCUGUGCCUGAGGAGGACUCACCCUGAAGGCAGCCUGGUGACAGGCCAUCAGAAUAGGCUCCCACUCUCCUGGAACAGGGGCAACCCCCACUCUGGCAAAGAAGAGGAGCGGAAAGCGCACCUGACUAGUGUACCAAAGUGUCAGUUUGCAUACAGUCCCCUCUCUGUCAUGCUAGGCAUGCCAUGUGCCUUGUAGGCCCUCAGAGUUUUGAUGUACAAAGCAGGGCCAACAUGCUGGACCUCAGAGCCAUAGACAUUAGCAACUUUAUCAGCAUCUCUGGACAAUGCCAAUGUGAAAUGGGCAUGACAUGGCAGGUAGAAAAACCAGGAUUUUCAUUCCAGCACCCAAACUUGGGGAAACCAUGAAUACCCCUUGGUUUUCCUCAUCUGUCAAGUAAGGACAGGAAGAGCCCCUUAGCAGUUCACUGUCUGACCUCAAACAGGAUGUAACAUGUAGAAAUUGCCUUACACAGAGUUCAACAAGGACAAAUGUAAGUGUUUAUUCUGCCUUGCCCAAACCUACUUCCUAGUAGGUGCCACUGGGCAUUACAGAGACUUCUUGCUAUCAGGUCCUCUGAGCCUUUCCCCCCUCUAUUUGUGUGACCACAUUGACUAGCCAGCUCCAAGGUCAUUGGUUUGCAGCAGGUAUCACCUGGGUUGUCCCUUGGGUGGAGCUCAGUCCAAGAGAGGGAUUCUAGGAUUUUUGUCCAUAGGAAUCAGGCCUAGUCUGUUUCUUCUGCUCUUUUCAAGGCCUCUCCAUAGGCUUUUGUGGCACAUCCUAUUCUGUAGGUCAUUCUCACAUGGUUCAGGGUCCAAACUGAAGGUCCAUGGGUCUUGAGAGCAGAAACCUAGUGUCUUCCUUGCCUUUGCCAUGAUGUCAUCAUUUAUUUUAUUUUUAGUUGUGUGUGUAUGCUUUUCUGGAUAUCUGCACAUGUGUGAGGGUACCUCAGGAGUUCAGAGAGGGUGACAGAGUCCCCUGGAGCUGCAGUUAUAGGCAGUUGUGAGCUGCCCAAUGCAGGUAUUGCUAGUCAAACUCAAGUGCUUUGUAGUAGCUGUGUGUGCUCUUAACUGUGAGCCAUUUCCCCAGCUCACAAGGGCCUGUUGUUUGAUUUCCAGAAUUAUUUAAAGUUACUACAUGCAUAUUGUCUUUGUUUGAUUUUUGACUUUGAACCUUCUCCCACUUUUUUCUUUAACUUUCAGUAUCUUCUUAGGGAUUGCUUAGGGAGGAUCUGUACCCUGUUGUGGAAUAUUAUUUUAACUGGAAUAUUAUUAUUUAACACAUGUGUUACAUUUGUUUAUGCUGAGGAAUAUUAUUUAAACUGUGUAAGGCUGUGCUACAUUUAUUUAUGUUACAUUUGUUAACAAUGUAAGGAUGUGUGCUUAGUUAUGUAAAGAUGUAAAGGUGUUUCACCUUGCUUGACUAAGGCACCUGAUUGGUCUAAUAAAGAGCUGAACAACCAAUAGCUAGUCAGGAGAGGGAUAGGCGGGGCUUCCAGGCAGAGGGAAUAAAUAAGAGAAAAUGAGGAGGAGAGAAGAAG